rnacentral:rRNA from 1 species
CAGCACCUCAAGUGGUCAGGAUGAUUAUUGGGCCUAAAGCAUCCGUAGCCGGCGCUGUAAGUUUUCGGUUAAAUCUGUACGCUCAACGUACAGGCUGCCGGGAAUACUGCAGCGCUAGGGAGUGGGAGAGGUAGACGGUACUCGGUAGGAAGGGGUAAAAUCCUUUGAUCUAUUGAUGACCACCUGUGGCGAAGGCGGUCUACCAGAACACGUCCGACGGUGAGGGAUGAAAGCUGGGGGAACAAACCGGAUUAGAUACCCGAGUAGUCC